rnacentral:rRNA from 1 species
GCUGGCGGCAGGCCUAACACAUGCAAGUCGAGCGGUAGAGAGAAGCUUGCUUCUCUUGAGAGCGGCGGACGGGUGAGUAAUGCCUAGGAAUCUGCCUGGUAGUGGGGGAUAACGUUCGGAAACGGACGCUAAUACCGCAUACGUCCUACGGGAGAAAGCAGGGGACCUUCGGGCCUUGCGCUAUCAGAUGAGCCUAGGUCGGAUUAGCUAGUUGGUGAGGUAAUGGCUCACCAAGGCGACGAUCCGUAACUGGUCUGAGAGGAUGAUCAGUCACACUGGAACUGAGACACGGUCCAGACUCCUACGGGAGGCAGCAGUGGGGAAUAUUGGACAAUGGGCGAAAGCCUGAUCCAGCCAUGCCGCGUGUGUGAAGAAGGUCUUCGGAUUGUAAAGCACUUUAAGUUGGGAGGAAGGGUUGUAGAUUAAUACUCUGCAAUUUUGACGUUACCGACAGAAUAAGCACCGGCUAACUCUGUGCCAGCAGCCGCGGUAAUACAGAGGGUGCAAGCGUUAAUCGGAAUUACUGGGCGUAAAGCGCGCGUAGGUGGUUUGUUAAGUUGGAUGUGAAAUCCCCUGGCUCAACCUGGGAACUGCAUUCAAAACUGACUGACUAGAGUAUGGUAGAGGGUGGUGGAAUUUCCUGUGUAGCGGUGAAAUGCGUAGAUAUAGGAAGGAACACCAGUGGCGAAGGCGACCACCUGGACUAAUACUGACACUGAGGUGCGAAAGCGUG